rnacentral:rRNA from 1 species
UGGGGAAUAUUGCACAAUGGGCGAAAGCCUGAUGCAGCAACGCCGCGUGAGUGAUGAAGGUCUUCGGAUUGUAAAGCUCUGUCUUUUGGGACGAUAAUGACGUACCAAAGGAGGAAGCCACGGCUAACUACGUGCCAGCAGCCGCGGUAAUACGUAGGUGGCGAGCGUUGUCCGGAUUUACUGGGCGUAAAGGGUGCGUAGGCGGAUGUUUAAGUGAGAUGUGAAAUACCCGGGCUUAACUUGGGUGCUGCAUUUCAAACUGGAUAUCUAGAGUGCAGGAGAGGAGAAUGGAAUUCCUAGUGUAGCGGUGAAAUGCGUAGAGAUUAGGAAGAACACCAGUGGCGAAGGCGAUUCUCUGGACUGUAACUGACGCUGAGGCACGAAAGCGUGGGUAGCAAACAGGAUUAGAUACCCUGGUAGUCCACGCCGUAAACGAUGAGUACUAGGUGUAGGAGGUAUCGACCCCUUCUGUGCCGCAGUAAACACAUUAAGUACUCCGCCUGGGAAGUACGAUCGCAAGAUU